rnacentral:lncRNA from 1 species
AUAACCAUGUUAUUGUAUUCAUUAAUUAUUUCUGAUUUUGUCUUGUUUGAUUUACAAAUUAAUAUCAUUUUUUAGUUAAAAAAUAUUCUACACAUAAUCGUAUUAAUCAUCCAUCAUUACAUUUUCACGUGUCAUGAAUUCAUAUUUUUGAAAACUCUACAUAUUAAGAAGGUACAAUGCACGAUCAUAUCCUUGCUAUAAUUAUAUUAAUUCCAUUCACGCGCCUUUUAAAUCAUACAGCCCCAGUUACUUGAGGAGAAUCCUUUUUUUUAGUUAGAAU